rnacentral:rRNA from 1 species
UGUGCCAGUAGUCAUAUGCUUGUCUCAAAGAUUAAGCCAUGCAUGUGUCAGUACAAGCUAAACUAAAGUGAAACCGCGAAAGGCUCAUUAAAUCAGCUAUGAUUCAUUGGAUCUGUACACCCAGUUUUCCUUGGAUAACUGUGGUAAUUCUAGAGCUAAUACAUGCACAUAUAGUCCCUGACCCCGAGAGGGGAAAGGGCGCUUUUAUUAGUAUCUCAAAACCGGUCGUCGGGCUUCGGUCCGUAAACCCCUACUGUGAUGACUCUGGAUAACUUUUAGCUGAGCGCACGGUCUUUUGCACUGGCGCCGCUUCUUUCAAGUGUCUGCCUUAUCAGCUUUCGAUUGUAGGUUAUGUGCCUACAAUGGCUAUAACGGGUAACGGGGAAUCAGGGUUCGAUUCCGGAGAGGGAGCCUGAGAAACGGCUACCACAUCUAAGGAAGGCAGCAGGCACGCAAAUUACCCACUCCCGGCACGGGGAGGUAGUGACGAAAAAUAAUGAUGCGAGACUCAUCCGAGGCCUUGCAAUCAGAAUGAGUACACUUUAAAUCCUUUAACGAGGACCCAUUGGAGGGCAAGUCUGGUGCCAGCAGCCGCGGUAAUUCCAGCUCCAAUAGCAUAUAUUAAAGUUGUUGUGGUUAAAAAGCUCAUAGUUGGAUUACAGUUGUGGACUGAUGGUAUAUACACCUAUCGGUGCUUACUAUCACGCUCCUAAACGCGCUCGCUUUGUCGAGCCUCGCUAGCUCGCACGGGGUGCUCUUGAUCGAGUGUCCCGAGUGGCUGGUAUGUUUACUUUGAAAAAAUUAGAGUGCUCAGAGCAGGCUCCUAUUAUGGCCUGAAUGCUUAUGCAUGGAAUAAUGAAAUAAGACCUCGAUUCCAUUUUGUCUGGUUUUUAUGGAAUUGGAGGUAAUGACUAAUAGAGACAAACGGGGGCAUUUGUAUUGCGACGCUAGAGGUGAAAUUCUUGGACCGUCGCAAGACAAACAACUGCGAAAGCAUUUGCCAAGGAUGUUUUCAUUAAUCAAGAACGAAAGUUAGAGGUUCGAAGGCGAUCAGAUACCGCCCUAGUUCUAACCAUAAACGAUGCUGACCAGCAAUCCGCCGGCGUUAUUCCCAUGACCCGGCGGGCAGCUUCCGGGAAACCAAAGUCUUUGAGUUCCAGGGGAAGUAUGGUUGCAAAGCUGAAACUUAAAGGAAUUGACGGAAGGGCACCACCAGGAGUGGAGCCUGUGGCUUAAUUUGACUCAACACGGGAAACCUCACCAGGCCCAGACACUGGAAGGAUUGACAGAUUGAGAGCUCUUUCUCGAUUCAGUGGGUGGUGGUGCAUGGCCGUUCUUAGUUGGUGGAGUGAUUUGUCUGGUUAAUUCCGAUAACGAACGAGACUCUGGCCUAUUAACUAGUCGACGGAUCUCCAUUAAUUGGUGUCCAGUUCGCAACUUCUUCUUAGAGGGAUAAGCGGUAGUCCUAGCCGCACGAGAUUGAGCAAUAACAGGUCUGUGAUGCCCUUAGAUGUUCUGGGCCGCACGCGCGCUACACUGAAGGGAUCAGAAUGUUUUCCCCCUCCGAGAGGAGCGGGUAACCCUGUGAAACCCUUUCAUGAUAGGGAUUGGGGCUUGCAAUUAUUUCCCAUGAACGAGGAAUUCCCAGUAAGCGCAGGUCAUGAGCUUGCGUUGAUUAAGUCCCUGCCCUUUGUACACACCGCCCGUCGCUACUACCGAUUGAAUGAUUUAGUGAGGCCUUCGGACUGGCGCUCUUGGCAAAUACCGAUUAUUCGGCUUUGUUCGUUUAUUGGUGCUUCGAGCUGACGGAAAGAUGUCCAAACUUGAUCAUUUAGAGGAAGUAAAAGUCGUAACAAGGUUUCCGUANGUGAACCUGGGAAAGGAUC